GAAAGUUCAGCAGAACAGGUGAAGGUGAUGAUCUCUGUUUCCUGGAUAACUUUUGACAUUCCAGCAAAGGGUAAUUUCUUUGUUGGAAGAAAAUGAUUGGCAUACCACAGGAUAUUUUAGCUCAGCUGGAUUAAUUCUAAUACUUGUACAGACUGAAGAUGCAUAAGAUGUUGGGAGGGGACACAGCUAUGAGAACUAACCUAAAUGGAUCAAAAGGAUAUCCCAUACCUGACGGAGUCAUGCAAUAAAAUGCUGAAGUAAAGAAGGAGGAAAGGGAGGGCAUUCAGAGUAAUGGCAUUUGUCUUCUCAAGAAACCAUUACACGUGAUAAAUGCUGGUUUACUGCAAGUGGCUGAACCUCUGCCUGCAGGUGUGAAGAGCUAAAU